GAUGAACGCUGGCGGCGUGCCUAAUACAUGCAAGUCGAGCGAACAGACGAGGAGCUUGCUCCUCUGACGUUAGCGGCGGACGGGUGAGUAACACGUGGAUAACCUACCUAUAAGACUGGGAUAACUUCGGGAAACCGGAGCUAAUACCGGAUAAUAUAUUGAACCGCAUGGUUCAAUAGUGAAAGACGGUUUUGCUGUCACUUAUAGAUGGAUCCGCGCCGCAUUAGCUAGUUGGUAAGGUAACGGCUUACCAAGGCGACGAUGCGUAGCCGACCUGAGAGGGUGAUCGGCCACACUAGAACUGAGACACGGUCCAGACUCCUACGGGAGGCAGCAGUAGGGAAUCGGCCGCAAUAGGCGAGAGCCUGACGGAGCAGGGCCGCGUGAGUGAUGAAGGUCUUCGGAGCGUAAAACUCGGUUAUUAGGGAAGAACAAAUGUGUAAGUAACUAUGCACGUCUUGACGGUACCUAAUCAGAAAGCCACGGCUAACUACGUG
rnacentral:rRNA from 1 species